CCUACGGGGGGCAGCAGUGGGGGAUAUUGCACAAUGGGGGGAACCCUGAUGCAGCGACGCCGCGUGGGUGAAGAAGUAAUUCGUUCCGUAAAGCUCUAUCAGCAGGGAAGAAAAUGACGGUACCUGAGUAAGAAGCCCCGGCUAACUACGUGCCAGCAGCCGCGGUAAUCCGGCGGGGGCAAGCGUUAUCCGGAUUUACUGGGUGUAACGGGGGCGUAGACGGUGAGCCAAGUCUGGAGUGAAAUGCCGCAGCUGAACUGCGGGACUGCUUUGGAAACUGGCGAACUUGAGUGCGGGAGGGGUAAGCGGAAUGCCUAGUGUAGCGGUGAAAUGCGUAGAUAUUAGGAGGAACACCGGUGGCGAAGGCGGCUUACUGGACCGUAACUGACGUUGAGGCUCGAAAGCGUGGGGAGCAAACAGGAUUAGAUACCCCUGUAGUC
rnacentral:rRNA from 1 species